AGCGUAGACGGUGUGGCAAGUCUGAUGUGAAAGGCAUGGGCUCAACCUGUGGACUGCAUUGGAAACUGUCAUACUUGAGUGCCGGAGGGGUAAGCGGAAUUCCUAGUGUAGCGGUGAAAUGCGUAGAUAUUAGGAGGAACACCAGUGGCGAAGGCGGCCUAUUGGGCACCAACUGACGCUGAGGCUGAAAGUGUGGGUAGCAAACA
rnacentral:rRNA from 1 species